rnacentral:rRNA from 1 species
CAGCGCCACAAGUGGCAAUCACAAUUAUUGGGUCUAAAGCGUCCGUAGCCUGUCUUAUAAGUCUUUUGUGAAAUUGUUGUCCUAAAUGCAACAGCGUGCAAAAGAUACUGUAAGACUUGGGACUGGGAGGAGUAAGGAGUAUUCUAAGGGGAGCGGUAAAAUGCUAUAAUCCUUGGAAGACUACCUGUGGCGAAAGCGCCUUACUAGAACAGAUCCGACGGUGAGGGACGAAAGCCAGGGGAGCAAACCGGAUUAGAGACCCGAGUAGUCC